GGGGAAUAUUGCACAAUGGGGGAAACCCUGAUGCAGCAACGCCGCGUGAGUGAAGAAGUAUUUCGGAAUGUAAAGCUCUAUCAGCAGGGAAGAAGAUGACGGUACCUGAGUAAGAAGCCCCGGCUAACUACGUGCCAGCAGCCGCGGUAAUACGUAGGGGGCAAGCGUUAUCCGGAUUUACUGGGUGUAAAGGGAGCGUAGACGGUGAGACAAGUCUGAAGUGAAAGCCCGGGGCUCAACCCCGGGACUGCUUUGGAAACUGCCUGACUGGAGUGCUGGAGAGGCAAGUGGAAUUCCUAGUGUAGCGGUGAAAUGCGUAGAUAUUAGGAAGAACACCAGUGGCGAAGGCGGCUUGCUGGACAGUAACUGACGUUGAGGCUCGAAAGCGUGGGGAGCAAACAG
rnacentral:rRNA from 1 species